rnacentral:rRNA from 1 species
GAUGAACGCUAGCGGCAGGCUUAAUACAUGCAAGUCGAGGGGCAGCACGGUUAGCAAUAACUGGUGGCGACCGGCGCACGGGUGCGUAACACGUAUACAAUCUACCUUAAACAGGGGAUAGCCUUUCGAAAGAGAGAUUAAUACCCCGUAAUAAAUUGAACGGCAUCGUUUGAUUUUGAAAGCUCCGGCGGUUUGAGAUGAGUAUGCGUCUGAUUAGCUAGUUGGUGAGGUAACGGCUCACCAAGGCGACGAUCAGUAGGGGAUCUGAGAGGACUAACCCCCCACACUGGUACUGAGACACGGACCAGACUCCUACGGGAGGCAGCAGUAAGGAAUAUUGGUCAAUGGAGGCAACUCUGAACCAGCCAUGCCGCGUGCAGGAUGACGGCCCUAUGGGUUGUAAACUGCUUUUAUACAAGAGAAAACCCUGGUACGUGUACCAGGUUGAUAGUAUUGUAAGAAUAAGCAUCGGCUAACUUCGUGCCAGCAGCCGCGGUAAU